GUAAUUAGAUGAGGUUAUAGUAACUGCGUACGGCUGGCAUCAUGCAGGCUUGUUGACAAGUCCAGCCGUGUCCCCUUGUUGGGCUCCAUGGUGGGCGGUUGGCGCUGUUGCCGAACACUUUCAUCUUUUUAUGGCUUCUCAAUCAUCCACUAUUUUUGAUCAGUCUCUGAAAAGAGGCCACACCGAGGCAACUUUUCAUUUCAACACACAAUCCAAAGUAUCCUUCCAAAAGCACCAUGUCAUCCACAGCGAAGGCACACCAGUACGAAAGCUAUCUCCAUUUUUGGUGGCCAAGUGCCUGAAAGAAAGAAAUUGGACCCAAGUACAAAGUUUCGAAAAUGUCAAGCGGUCACCUGCUCCUAGAGCUAGCCGAAAAAGAAACAAGUAUCAAAGCUCUCCGAACUCGCCCGCAUUGGUGACACUACCGUAACAAUUUCUGUCCACAGAUCCCUUAACACCAGCAGGGGAGGAAUAUCUGAAGAAGAUUUCUUAGGCCUAAGUGACAAGGAGCUCCUCGAGGGGUUUCAGGAUCAAGACGUCAUAAAGCUCAGUUUUUGCCGGAUGGUGAACCUUUGUUCAACUGCGACAUGGGAAUCAAGCGACAUUGACCAAAACGAUGGAAAUCAACGAGUGUGCCUCGCAGCUGAAAUUGGCCACUGCCGGUCAACCAACCGUGGACUGAUCGCACAGACGACUGCAGCCUACAAAUAGCACGGAUCUUCACUCGGAGCUUGGGGCAUGGAACCGGUGCAGAUAUGACUGCACCGCUUACGCUUACGCUGUUCUUUCUGCAGGCUGACCACCAAAACAGUGUGAAUCUGGGUCCUUAGGAGCUUGAAUGCCACCAGGUACCAAUGCUCUGCUCGUUGUGGACAAGUACUGAGACGAAGACAGCACCUGCCUUUGUGCAAUACUUCUGAAUGCUUCUUCAUUGUGACUAAUGGAAAACUGUUGUGCAAUUUAACCUUUGUUCACUUCACUCAAAUAAUAAAUGAGCCCAACAAUUACAAGAGCAAGCCUGGAAGUGUUGAGACUUCAUAUUACUACUUUGACUAAAAAAUAAUAAAAAUAUAGUUUUUUAAUGCAGGAAGUUCUUGCUUUUGUUUAUUCCAAAACAAGCCAACUGCAUCUCUUAAAGGAGUGUUGACACCUAAAAUCGGACUGUAACUUGACAUGAAAAGGACUCCAGCAUAAGUUUUCAGUGCUUGCAAGGAAUGCCAUAAGGAAUCUUAACCAUUUGACACACUAUGUACACAAUUAUGUACACCACUUGAUUUUGCUAUUUGUAUCAACUAGGGGCUAAGAAACAUGAAGAUAUAUCGAGCUUCAGAUGAAUUGAACCUUCUGCGUAAUACAUUUCUCUUCAUUUAACUUCAUUUUGCAGUGUACUGUUGCAUAUUUAUUUAUUUUUAUUUUAUUUACCCUCAAGGCCAUAGGGCAUUAUUGAGGGGAGUGGUUACCAAGUACACAAGAAAUAAAAUACAGCAUGAAAAUAAGUUAUUCAACAAACAAUAAAGUCAUCAUUAUACAAUGUUAGCUGCGUAAGGACAAAAGGACAACGAACACAAUACAAUAGGAACAUGAUACAUAACAAUACAUAACAUAAUA